AGUAGUCAUGGAUGAGACCCAGAAGAAGCUGGCUAAAGUAACCAAGAUUCUUGGAAGGACUGGAUCACAGGACAAUGUACUCAGGUCAAAGUUGAGUUCUUGGACGAUAACACAAGAAGCAUCAUCCGAAAUGUGAAGGGACCAGUAAGGGAGGGUGACAUCCUCACACUGCUCGAGUCAGAGAGAGAAGCUAGGAGGCUUAGAUGAUCCGGACUCUUGAUGAUGGACAUUCUUAGAUAGUUUUUAAUUUAUCAA